UGCCAGACUCCUACGGGAGGCAGCAGUGAGGAAUAUUGGUCAAUGGGCGGGAGCCUGAACCAGCCAAGUCGCGUGAGGGAUGACGGCCCUACGGGUUGUAAACCUCUUUUGCCGGGGGACAAACGGCGGCACGCGUGCCGUCCUGAGGGUACCCGGAGAAAAAGCAUCGGCUAACUCCGUGCCAGCAGCCGCGGUAAUACGGGGGAUGCAAGCGUUGUCCGGAAUCAUUGGGCGUAAGGAGUUCGUAGGUGGCACGUUAAGUCUGGUGUUAAAUGCAGAGGCUCAACCUCUGUUCGGCACUGGAUACUGGCGAGCUUGAAUGCGGUAGAGGUAAAGGGAAUUCCUGGUGUAGCGGUGAAAUGCGUAGAUAUCAGGAGGAACAUCGGUGGCGUAAGCGCUUUACUGGGCCGUAAUUGACACUGAGGAACGAAAGCCAGGGUAGCAAAUGGGAUUAGAUACCCUUGUA
rnacentral:rRNA from 1 species